AUGAUACCGGUAUUUGAGGAUAGUCGAGAAGAUAAAAUAAGACUGUGCGUGCGAGGAGCUCUGCAAACCGGAACCCACAGCUGGAGGCUGGGCGGAGGAGAGUUCCCACCCCUGACUACCCUUGAUAGGACACACGGUCUCCAUGAGCCCAAACCGGGCCAAGCCUUCUGCACACCGUGGAAAAUCCUUGAGGUGAGACCCUGCUGGUGAGAAUCCGGAGCUGGGUGGCCCUGGGCGCUGACGCAGUCCGGCUGUGCAGGGUUGCGCAAGUCCGAGCUGCUGGGGGCGGGGGGGCAUCGUCGGGGUUGCGGGCUGCACUCUGCACACCGCAGGCUCCCCCGGGAGGUUGAUCAAUGGUGGCUUUUGUGUUUUUAAAAACUCCUGCCCUGUUUUGCCUGUGUGAGAGCCGGGGGCUGUGAGAGAAGGGGCCAGUGGAGGGCUCAGUUGCGGGAGGUGCACACUGGACUCUCAUAGGAGUUGCCUUAAGCCUGUGCCUAGAGGAGGAUUUGUCCACCAAGUUAGCUGCUCAUACCCACUCUUCUGUAUGUGAGCCUAGCUUCCCUCUUCUCCCUCCCAGGGGGAUCCCAGACACUGUUCCAGAAACAGCUACUUUAUUUUUUUUAUAUUUUUAUUUUUUUGUUUGAGAGGCAGAGUCACAGACAGAGAGAGGGAGAGAGACACAGCGAGGUCACUCCCCAAAUGGCUGCAACGGCUGGAGCUGGGCUGAUCUGAAGCCAGGAAACAGGAACUUCCUCCAGGUCUCCCUGGGCCAUACUCUGUUGUUUUCCCAAGUGUGUUAGCAGGGAGCUGGCUCGGAAGAGGAGCAGCCGGAACAUGAACCAGCGCCUAUAUGGGUGGAGGUUCAGCCUACCGCGCCACAGCGCU
rnacentral:lncRNA from 1 species